rnacentral:rRNA from 1 species
UAGUCCACGCCGUAAACGAUGUUCACUAAAUGUUGGGUCUGCUUGCAGAUUCAGUGUUGUAGCUAACGCGCUAAGUGAACCGCCUGGGGAGUACGGUCGCAAGGCUAAAACUCAAAGAAAUUGACGGGGGUCCGCACAAGCGGUGGAACAUGUGGCUUAAUUCGACAAUACGCGAGGAACCUUACCUAGACUUGACAUGUACUUGCUACCCUUAGAAAUAAGGGGUUCUGGGUUUACUCAGACGAGUACACAGGUGCUGCAUGGCUGUCGUCAGCUCGUGUCGUGAGAUGUUGGGUUAAGUCCUUUAACGAGCGCAACCCUUGCCGCCAGUUGCUAAUCUUCGGAUGCACUCUGGUGGGACUGCCUUGGAAACAGGAGGAAGGUGGGGAUGACGUCAAGUCCUCAUGGCCCUUAUGUCUAGGGGCUACACACGUGUUACAAUGGCAGGGUACAACAGGGAAGCGAUGCCGCGAGGGCU